rnacentral:rRNA from 1 species
GAGAUGUUGGGUUAAGUCCCGCAACGAGCGCAACCCUAUUGUUAGUUGCCAUCAUUCAGUUGGGCACUCUAGCGAGACUGCCGGUAAUAAACCGGAGGAAGGUGGGGAUGACGUCAAAUCAUCAUGCCCCUUAUGACCUGGGCUACACACGUGCUACAAUGGUUGGUACAACGAGUUGCGAGUCGGUGACGGCGAGCUAAUCUCUUAAAGCCAAUCUCAGUUCGGAUUGUAGGCUGCAACUCGCCUACAUGAAGUCGGAAUCGCUAGUAAUCGCGGAUCAGCACGCCGCGGUGAAUACGUUCCCGGGCCUU